rnacentral:tRNA from 1 species
AAUGUUUGUUGGCCUGAGCGUGGGGGCACUAGGCUUCUCAAGCCUGGUUGUUAUCAACGAGAGCACCCCCUAUGUUCUGGUUGCACUGCUAACAUUU